CUCUCUCAGCAAUUGUAAAUCCAACAUUAAGAGGCUCCAAUCGAGGAAGUAUGGAAAAAAAAGGAAGAAAUAACAACCCUUUAUUAAAAUAUAUAUGUAUGUUGGCAAAGACAGUAACAGAACACAAAAAACAACUAGACAAUAGUCCUGUACCCAAAAGUCCCCUUCAAAAAAAAAAAGAAACAGUCUGAACACUUCUCUGUCUUUAGCGCAGUUCUAAUCACGGCCGGCAGGGGGCGCUGUUGGAUCGCUGGAGGUGCAGAGCCUGCAGGUCUCUGUGUUGGCCUGCAGGGGGCGCUGUUGGGCACUGGCGGUCGCCGCGUGAGGCCUCGGAUCACGGGAGAAGCCGGAGUGGGGCCUUCUCCCACCAAGAGGGGGAAGGGAAGAAAGGAAAAGCAGAGCAGUCCACUUUCCGUGGAACUCACUGCUGUCCUCGGCUGGCAGUGCUCAAGGUUCCUCUUUAUUCCCCAACGAGCACAAACUCUCCAAUGAAAUCGCAGCAGGUUCGGGCUGGAGGCAGGAGCAGCGUGCAGGCAAGCCGAGGCGAGUGGUCAGAAAUUACCGAGUUGAGAGCAAGAAAAACGGCCUCAAAGCUUUUCCAAAUGCACACAGACUCACCGUCUCCGUUCAAGUAGAGAAACCAAACUGUUCUCCCGUUUAUGAGGAGGGCAGCAAAAACUCCUCCUCCCUCCCUCCGGUCUUAGGAGUCAGAAGUUCCUUUGGGCCUUAUCAUAUGCAUCAGGGAUGGUGUUUGUCACUAACAGCUUUACAAAGGUGUUACUUCUCAUCGUCUGCAAUGUGUCGCACUGCUGUCACACACCUAACCUCUUCCUGUGAUUACAUGGUUCAUGAACACCUCUUCAGAAGGCUGGAUUUCCCAAAUACACACACACAAAGUGUGGGUGGUGCAGCCAGCUAAGCUGGUGUUUAUGCACAGGUACAAAAAUGGUCCUCUUUGGUUGACUGAGAAGUCUUUGCAAACAAAAAGUGCUCCAGUCUAAGACCUUCAAUCCAGUGAUCCAGAAAAAUACUUUUUUAUUUCUUCAGAUAUUGUGGCUUUGAGAAGAGAACUUCAGCUCUAUCUCCAUGUUCCCAUAUCCGUUUCAGUGCAGGUAGGUUGGUCCUGUACAAAUUAUUGUUACAAAGCAGUUUGAUAUAAAGCAAAUACUCUUCCCAACUGAAGCAAAAUGUACAUGCUAAAAGGAUAUACAUGUUGCCCUGAACUAAUUGCCAUCCUUAUGAUGGUUCUGCUGUGACAUGGAGGAGUGAGGAGGUUGACACAGGCUAUCACUUUUACAGGUGGACCCUUCAGAAAUUGCUCUCACAUAUUGGACAGCACAGCAGGCAAGGUCAUCUUCGCUGCAGCAUGUAUCCAAAAUCCCUCUUGGAAUGCACAUUGUUGCUCACAGUUGGCCUGGUGGAAAUGAUCUGUGUCCACUUCCAAUGCAGUUAGCUAUCCUCAGAGGGGUAAAAAGAGACAGAAAACAGUGGGCAGUUUGCCCAUUCUAUGCUUUGAGUAUGAAGUCCUGGGCACAGGGCCCUUACAUUGCAGAUGCCCUGAAAAACCCCAACAACUGCUGUCCAGAUGUUACGGUGACCCUAGAAUUGCUUGCCCCGUUAUUGCACCAUUAUUCCACCCAUGGAAUACCCCAUUCUCCUUAGACUCCUCAACAGGACUGCUCACAGGCAGGUAAUCCAGCCAGAGCUGGCUGUCUCCUCUGCUGGACUCCAUCUCUAGUGCACACAGCCGCACCAUGGUUUCAGCAAGUGCUCUACCCCUGAGUCUCUGAGUUUUUCACCUUCAGCGAUGGAGAGCUGGGCAUUCUCUUAUCUAAUCUCAAGCUUGAGAAAAUUACCUCUGUUGAAACGUGGCUUUUAUGUUAGAUUGUUCUUUGAUACUGCUUUGGGAAAGGCUGGGCCAGUUCUGUGUUGUUCUGUGUUACUUCAGUGCAGUGCUGGUUGCUGUACCCUGAUUUUUCUGGAUGGGCCAGGAAAAGGUGGUAGGUCUUAUAAAAUCUAAAUAUUAAAUCUUAUUUGACUGCCCCUCAUGAGGAUAAAAUCCCAGGGAAAACUUCCAUUAUUUGGAGCAGAAGCCCAGCCAGUGUCAUUUGUCUGUGAAGGCACACUCCUGAAUCCUUUUUCAGCUAAAAAACAAGUAAAAAAUAAGUAAAAGAAAACAAGCAAACCAAACCAAACCAGACCCACACACAAAAA